rnacentral:rRNA from 1 species
AAUAUUUGCCAAUGGGCGAAAGCCUGAUCCAGCCAUGCCGCGUGUGUGAAGAAGGUCUUCGGUUUGUAUAGCACUUUAUGUUGGGCGGAAGGGCAGUAGGUUGAUACCUUGCUGUUUUGCCGUUCCCACUAGAAUAAUCACUGCCCUACUUCGUGCCAGCAGCCGCGGUAAUACGACGGGUGCAAGCGUUAAUCGGAAUUACUGGGCGUAAUGCGCGCGUAGGUGGUUUGUUAAGUUGGAAGUGAAAGCCCCGGGCUCAACCUGGAAACUGCUUUAAAAACGGGCAAGCUAGAGUGUGGCAGAGGGUGGUGGAAGUGCCUGUGUAGCAGUGAAAUGUAUAGAUAUAGGAAGGAACACCAGUGGCGAAGGCCACUACCUGGACUGAUACUGACACUGAGGUGCGAAAGCGUGGAGA